ensembl:lncRNA
GAGGGCCUGAGUGGGGGCACAUGGGGCAAGAGAGGCAGGCUGCCAUGCUGCUCUAUCCCUGCCGCUCCGACUGGCACUUCUUUUCUGCACGUUUAAUAUGCAAUUAUUUAAUGGGGUGUAUUAGAGCAUAACGGCCAUAACUUAAGACCUUUCAGUCAAGAUUAAACAGGUGCCGAGGCUUUCUUUUCAAGGCUGGGAACAGCUGUGAGCCUCCCCUUCUCAUACGUGAUUACAGUACACGCGGGGGCCUUUCCAUGCCCUCCCCCUCCGUGCCGCGCGCUCCCUCAAAGGCCCGUUUUUGUCUUCCCGCAAGACACCGUCCAGGCAAUUCACAGGGAGCAGGAGAAAAGAAGCGUGAUUUAUUAGCUCUGGCAUGGAGGGCAAGGUUUUGACCUCAGGUGUGAAUCUGAGAAAAAUAUUAUUUUCCUGACAGCCAGCUCUCUCCGAGCGAAUUAAAACUGCUAUUGUGAGGAAAUGUAUUAAAGCCAUUUCAGCUUUUAUGACAAUAUCAGCACGGCUACUUUACGGAGCGCCUAGGAUGUGGACUUGCCCCAAGGUGCUUUAUAAUCAUCUGUUUGAAGGGAGAGAAUUUGCCUGCAGAGAUGAAUCAAUGAGUGUCUUUUAUGAAACAUUAAUGACUGCUUUUGUAGAUGUAAAUUCCGGGGUAUGUUCCUGCAUCUCUCCGUGCUGUCCUGCAGCUGCAGCUCAAGCCCGUUUGCCGUUAGUGAGGAUCAUCAUCCAGCAGCACAGUUUCGCUGGAGGAGCUUUACAUCAUCUCCUAAUGUAAACAAUAUUGUAAGAGAGUCCGACAGCCCCACAGGAUUUUCAUUGGGCGAUGAUUGAUGUGGAAAGGGAUGGAGCUGCAGUGAUUCUGCAUCAGUCACAGCUCUCGCUUGGCUCUCAAACUGACCCUGUUAGCACAGUCUGACUUGGAUCAUUUGUCUCAGAAGUACCAAGGGAUUUUAAAACAGCUGUGGAUUCAACCAUUUCAAAUGGGAACAUAUUUUUGGUUUGUGGCCAUCCUGUUGCUCCUCCCCUCCUCCUUCUGCAGGUCCCUUCCCCGGUGACAUCUGUUCCCAGGAAUGAUGAGACAAGAUUUGGAGCAAUUACUAUAGUUUGUGUUUCCUGACCCAGCUUGCUGUGUGCGUGUUAAGAGCACGAGCGCUGAAAAUCAACAGGGUGUAGAAGGCCUUAUACUUCACCCCAAACACCUGUGGCACCUAUGCAAGAAGAAAAGCUCUGAUGUGCCAACUGGACUCUGAUUUUGUGGCAGGACAAGCCAGGCCUUGAAAACACUCCUCUGCCUUCCACAGGGCUAAGCACAGCAGGGAGCUCGGGGCGCCUGGCUCCUGAGGUGGAGGAAGGCAGGCUCUGUGCUGCAGGAUGGAUGUCACAGCGAGAGGGAGAGCCGAGUUAUUUCCGCAAUCCCUUCACAUAAUGGAUGGGGAUGUCAAGAUGCCGCCAUCUGAAGUAUGAGCACCUUGGAACCAAACAAAAAAUGACUGGCGGUGUCAGCUUUCAGGAAUGUAUGAGCAGAGGUGGUGGGGAGCUGCACAUGCGGCACAGGCUUUCUCCAGCAUCUUCCUUUCAGCACAAGGGAUGACCUUGGCCCCUCUCCUCUUCCUCCACAGACUGUCACGCACAGAUCUCCUGGUCUGAACCCUGUGCACGCUCGCUGCAACGUGAGCAGCUCUCAGCAGGCGGUGCCUCAGGCAGGAGGCCAGCUCAGGGCGGAGUUGUGGCUCCAAUGUGCGGAUCUGCCAGAGGGCUUUGAACAGAUCUGAGCAUCUGCAAAUCCUGCCUGGCUUCUGAUCCCUCUCUUUGCUGUCAAUUGCUCGUGUGGGAUGUGAUAUACAGAUCCACUGGGCAGCAUCCCCUGUACAAACCCAAGUGAAGGCUGAAGCAGGGCUUAGUGCUAAGCACAGAAUGGCUGCAGUCACACCUCAAAGUCUCCUGGCCAGAGGACAAAGCACUGACCGCAUCAUCACCACCACCUCCAUCAUUUUGAGUAACUCUGACGGUGAGCUCUGAGUACACUGAAGAGCUGUCUGCUCUCCAUCCAUCACAGUCCUUCUCUCUCAAAGUGGGGACUCAGGUGCAAAAAGCCUCAUUGCUCACAUCUUGGUCUUGGAUGGCCAGAAAGCCUCACCACCAAGGCUGUAGUGGUGCUAUAUGGCAUUAGUAGGAAAUUGCAACUCACAUUUUCCCUAAAAAAGCUACUGACUGCAGUGAGUCAAGGUGCUGGAGAGCACUGCUCUCCGUUUGGAACAUUUCCAGUCUGGUCUCUAUCAGAGCUUUGACCCACAGAAGGCCACGUGGAGCAGAAUGGGAGUUUUUCCGAGUUCCUGUAUUUGGUGCCUUGGGCUCCAUGGUGAGCAAUGGCUUGGAAAUAGUACUACAUCAGAAGAGCUGUGACAAGAAUUACCUGCCUCUGAAUAGACAUUCCUCAAAUGCUGCCCAAGGGUUUUUUUUCCGUAGAGACCCCUCAAAGCCUGGACACUGCUCCUCCCUGUCCCAGCCGAGCCACGAGAUUACUGCUCAUUAAAUCUUCCAUGCAAAAUGAGUAUUGGAUCCUUGGAUCAGUCCCCACCCAUGGCCUGUCAGGGUACUUCAGGGGCUGGAGAGUAGUUCUGAUCUGCAGCCCCAUGUCACCAACAAUCCCAUAAUGUAAUGGAAGAUCAUUUCUAGGGGAGCAGAGCUGCUCUGGCAUUCAGAUCAGAAUCUGAUUAGAAUUCAGUUUAGUCUACCAAGGUAAUAACGAGGUCUAGGAUCACAAUCUGCUGGAAUAACUUAGUAAGCCAUGUGAGGUCACUAUUGCUUCUUGAAAAUAUGGCUUAAACAUAAUUUACCUGGCAAUAACUUGACCUGGAAGAGAGAGGUUUAUCUUCUUGGCAUGCUGUAUCUGGGUAGCUUGACAACCUCUACAUAAAUCUGAGAUCUUUCAUUCUACAGCUGGCUGUUAUUACUUAUAAUCUCUAAAUGCAAAAAGUAUUCCUCCCAGAGACCCCUCUCUUUUCCUUUCUUUCCUC